AUUCAGCUGAAGUGUCCUAAAUAAGACGAAAUAAACAUCCUAGAU
rnacentral:hammerhead_ribozyme from 1 species